AAUUUGUUGCGGACAUAUGAAAUGUAUAUGUGUAUCUAUUCCGCCAGCAGUUACAAUCAUUCCCUCUCCAGCAAGAACCUCUGUUGAAGCACCGACUAUGAGAGAAUUGUCUACUUUGUCCAUUAAAUUUGGAUUGCCUGAUUUGCCAAUCCCUACUAUUACUCCAUCUCUUAUGCCGAUAUCUGCUUUGAUAAUUCCCCAGUAAUCAACUAUCAGCGCAUUUGUUAUUAGUAAAUCUAUAGUUCCUUCUUCCCUAGUCGCAAGGGGAGAUUGACCUAAACCAUCACG
rnacentral:sRNA from 1 species